rnacentral:rRNA from 1 species
AGAGUUUGAUCAUGGCUCAGGAUGAACGCUAGCGGCAGGCUUAAUACAUGCAAGUCGUGGGGCAGCAGGUCCCGUAGCAAUACGGGAUGCUGGCGACCGGCAAACGGGUGCGGAACACGUACGCAACCUACCCAUAACUGGGGGAUAGCCCGGGGAAACCCGGAUUAAUACCCCGUAACAUAUUGAUAAGGCAUCUUAUUAAUAUUAUAGCUCCGGUGGUUAUGGAUGGGCGUGCGCCUGAUUAGGUAGUUGGCGGGGUAACGGCCCACCAAGCCUACGAUCAGUAACUGGUGUGAGAGCACGACCAGUCACACGGGCACUGAGACACGGGCCCGACUCCUACGGGAGGCAGCAGUAAGGAAUAUUGGUCAAUGGACGCAAGUCUGAACCAGCCAUGCCGCGUGGAGGAUGAAGGUCCUCUGGAUUGUAAACUUCUUUUAUCUGGGAAGAAAUCCAUAAAUUCUUUUAUGGUUGACGGUACCAGGUGAAUAAGCACCGGCUAACUCCGUGCCAGCAGCGGCGGUAAUAC